AUUGAACGCUGGCGGCAGGCUUAACACAUGCAAGUCGAGCGGAGAGGGGUAGCUUGCUACUGAUCUUAGCGGCGGACGGGUGAGUAAUGCUUAGGAAUCUGCCUAUUAGUGGGGGACAACAUUUCGAAAGGAAUGCUAAUACCGCAUAGGUCCUACGGUCGAAAGCAGGGGAGCGUCGGACUAUGCGGUAAUAGAUGAGCCUCAGUCGGAUUAGCUAGUUGGUGGGGUAAAGGCCUACCAAGGCGACGAUCUGUAGCGGGUCUGAGAGGAUGAUCCGCCACACUGGGACUGAGACACGGCCCAGACUCCUACGGGAGGCAGCAGUGGGGAAUAUUGGACAAUGGGCGCAAGCCUGAUCCAGCCAUGCCGCGUGUGUGAAGAAGGCCUUAUGGUUGUAAAGCACUUUAAGCGAGGAGGAGGCUACUUUAGUUAAUACCUAGAGAUAGUGGACGUUACUCGCAGAAUAAGCACCGGCUAACUCUGUGCCAGCCGCCGCCGUAAAAC
rnacentral:rRNA from 1 species